AUUGAACGCUGGCGGCAUGCCUUACACAUGCAAGUCGAACGGUAACAGGUCUUCGGAUGCUGACGAGUGGCGAACGGGUGAGUAAUACAUCGGAACGUGCCCGCUCGUGGGGGAUAACGAGGCGAAAGCUUUGCUAAUACCGCAUACGAUCUACGGGUGAAAGCGGGGGAUCUUCGGACCUCACGCGGACGUAGCAGCCGAUGGCAGAUUAGGUAGUUGGUGGGAUAAAAGCUUACCAAGCCGACGAUCUGUAGCCGGUCUGAGAGGAUGAUCAGCCACACUGGGACUGAGACACGGCCCAGACUCCUACGGGAGGCAGCAGUGGGGAAUUUUGGACAAUGGGCGAAAGCCUGAUCCAGACAUGCCGCGUGCAGGAUGAAGGCCUUCGGGUUGUAAACUGCUUUUGUACGGAACGAAAAGCCUCUUUCUAAUAAAGAGGGGUCAUGACGGUACCGUAAGAAUAAGCACCGGCUAACUACGUG
rnacentral:rRNA from 1 species